CCUACGGGUGGCAGCAGUGAGGAAUAUUGGUCAAUGGACGAGAGUCUGAACCAGCCAAGUAGCGUGAAGGAUGACUGCCCUAUGGGUUGUAAACUUCUUUUAUAUGGGAAUAAAACGUUUCACGUGUGGGAUUUUGUAUGUACCAUAUGAAUAAGGAUCGGCUAACUCCGUGCCAGCAGCCGCGGUAAUACGGAGGAUCCGAGCGUUAUCCGGAUUUAUUGGGUUUAAAGGGAGCGUAGGUGGAUUGUUAAGUCAGUUGUGAAAGUUUGCGGCUCAACCGUAAAAUUGCAGUUGAAACUGGCAGUCUUGAGUACAGUAGAGGUGGGCGGAAUUCGAGGUGUAGCGGUGAAAUGCUUAGAUAUCACGAAGAACUCCGAUUGCGAAGGCAGUUCACUGGACUGCAACUGACACUGAGGCUCGAAAGUGUGGGUAUCAAACAGGAUUAGAUACCCUAGUAGUC
rnacentral:rRNA from 1 species